GAACCUGAACAUCUGAGCCUGUGUUGGCCUGGGAUCAGUGCACUCAUUCCAAGACAGUUAGUACAUUAUGUGGUUUGAAGACCUUCCCUGCUAGCUUUGAGAACUCCGCAAAGCCUUUGGAAGAUCUGUGAGAAGGUAGGAGAGUCCCAUUGGAGCCAUGUAAUACUCCUGGAGGAUCUGCCUUCCACUCAGCUCAAAGUCACAAGCUCAGAUAAUGGCACAUUCCAGGCUAAUUGCUUCAGAGAAAGGAAAACAGCAAAGAAAAAGCUGAAGUGAAAAACCUUUAAAAACCCUCAACUUUUCACAGUUGGGUCAGAAAGAAAGUGCUGUAAAGGAAUUACUGUCUUCACAAUGCUAGAUUACUUUCUCACUAGCAGACAACAGAAUGAUUUGAAAGUACUGUACUGUGUACCAUACAGAAUAAUUCUGGAACUGUUCCACGUACUGGUGUGAAUGAACAAGAAAAUAAUCAAUCACUUCAUUUUUAUGAAUGCUACCUAUUUUGCAUACGUCUGUGGUUGUUUAUUUUUUAAAGUUAGGUGUGUAAUGGUGGCUUUGACUAACUCAUAUAUCAAUAUCUAAGUAUGGAUUUGCAAGAGCUUUAAGAAGAUGGGUCUUAGGAUUGUUAUUAUUUCAUGCAUAAAAAGUAUGAGGAACAGAGAUAGUUAAUGACACACCUUCUAAAUGACAUCUGGUAAAUGGAGGAACUGGAACUACACAUACUUACUGUCUUUUGUAAAUUCCAAGGAUUUUUUGAA